GUCGGGAAUAUUGGGCAAUGGAGGAAACUCUGACCCAGCAACGCCGCGUGAAGGAAUAGAAGGUCUUCGGAUUGUAAACUUCUGUCGCGAGGGACGAAGAAUGACGGUACCUCGUAAGAAAGCCCCGGCUAACUACGUGCCAGCAGCCGCGGUAAUACGUAGGGGGCAAGCGUUGUCCGGAAUGACUGGGCGUAAAGGGAGUGUAGGUGGCAUAAUAAGUUAUAUGUGAAAGCCCGCGGCUUAACUGCGGAACUGCAUAUAAAACUGUUAAGCUUGAGUGCAGGAGAGGUAAGCGGAAUUCCUAGUGUAGCGGUGGAAUGCGUAGAUAUUAGGAAGAACACCAGAGGCGAAGGCGGCUUACUGGACUGUAACUGACACUGAGGCUCGAAAGCGUGGGGAGCAAACAGGAUUAGAUACCCUAGUAGUCC
rnacentral:rRNA from 1 species